rnacentral:lncRNA from 1 species
AUUCUCAUAAAGGAAAACCCGUAUGGGAAAGUAUAACUUUUAUCAGCUUGGAGAAAAUGAAGUUUGAAAGCACAAGGAUAUGCGCUUCUUGCCUUCCAAAUAACAUCGUAGGUACUUAGUUAAUUGCAGUACGUAGCGACAGACAAAGUCAAAUUUGUUCAUAACUAUUUGAACCAAAUGAAAAGAAAUGCAUAAUGCAAGGAAACAACUCAUCAACUUGUGGAGUUUGAAAUGAACCAUAUCCAAAACAUUAACACUGAUCUACGAUGAACCAUUUUGUUGCCAUUUUUAAUGAUUUUCUAUUUCAGGCUUCAACUCCAAUGAGAUUCUCUCUGCUCGGAGUUCAUUGAUGUUCUGCUCCAAAUCCUCUAUCCUAAUGCCCAUUGAUAUGUAGUAAGAAAUUAGUAAAAUUGUAGAUCAUACGAUAUUCUUUAUUCUUUGAAAUGAUGGAGUUUGACAUCGUCAGCCACCUGCUUUGCUGCAAAUUAAGGCAUACAUACACAUGAAGCGGAAAUUUUCACAAUCAAACCCAACAACUUUCCAUAUACUGAAGGAGAGUUUAUACCUUCAAGGUGCAACAAUUCAAUUAAGAAACAUACAACAAUUGAUUCUUUGAGAGAGAUUGGCUGCAUUCAUUAAUGUAUGUUUUGGAUCAAGAAAAAACUUGACAUAAUAUAAAAGACUCUAUUCUUUUUUCCCUAUACAUAAAGUAGUUUUAGCACAUAUUAAGAAUAUGGCAUGACCACAGAGCAUGGCUCCUCACUAAUUUUAAAUGCAGACUUUUCACUAUGAUGAAUCAUCUUAAAAUUAUAUCCUAUUAGAAUUUAAGCCUACACAAAAUCACGAAAUCUAUAGCUAGCCCAAUUUUAUUUGUCCAUCCACGAUGGAGUAGAAAAAAAGUUGUAAGGUACUCACCAAUGUUGUCAUACCAACAGUGUUCUGUUUAGUGUCUUCUGCAUUAUGUCCACUUUGCUAGAAGCAAAAACGGCGAGAUAAAAAUGGCUAUAUAUAUAUAUAUAUAUAUAUAUAUAUAUAUAUAUAUAUAUAUUCCAUAUUUAAUCUGUAUAUUGUCAUACCAAAGCUUAAACACAACAAUAUCCAACUUUCUGCUAAAUGAUUUGAUCAACUUCAUGGCCACCAAUAUAACAUCCAUGUCUCAAGCACUGUUUAAUGAAUAAUUUGCAUCCUAGGAAAGAGUUUGUUAGUUAGUCAUGCCCAUCUCUCAGAAAUCCAACGCCAAGCAACAACCAAGCACAACUCCUCAGACUAAACAUAUUCAUAAUCAGGGCAUUCUCUGCACUACAAAAGAAAGCCACAUCCUUCUUAGCACAUGAUAAAUCACAACAACCAUCUUGGCGAGUUUAACAUCUAAAGCCCUAAUAUAAGAAAUUUGUGUUGUCAUGUGCAUAUUUGGAGGUCAAAAGAUAACUUUUCUGAUUCAUUUGACAUGUAAAAUUAACAUUUCCUCAUGCAACAUCCUGAAGAUAACACCAAUCAAAAGAGUUAGCAAAAUAAAUAGAGCAUAAUCCAUAAAUUGCACCUACUGCUAAAGAUUUGUGAUCAUAAAGAAACUUUACAAAAUUUGCAAUUUAAUAAACGUGGUCACUGAGAGGGUCAAGGCCAUGUUCAUAGAUUUUGGAAUUUAGACAAGCAGCCAAUAAUAUGUAUGAAAAGGUUAGAAUAAAUACUUACUUUCAUCAGGAAACUUCCCAUAGUUAUGGUUCAAAGCUUAAACAAAAGCAGUUUUAUGGUCUUGCAUCACUUCAAGGAACCAGAAACAACUUUAUUCAUUGAACUUAAUAAUCAAUGAAAUAACAUAAAUUAGCCGACAUUGAUCAAAUAAUGCAUAUAUGUAAUUUGGGGCUAAGCCAAACAAUAACAACUGGAGCUAAGCCAGCCAAUCAUAUAUGCACUAACAAUCUAAAACUAAUAAAAAUGUUGUUAUCUCUUAGAAUAUUUACCUUAAAAAUAAUUUCCACAAACACACCCCACUCCAGAAAACUAAACCAAAAACACAAAAAGUUAGCAACUUCAAACCCAAAAAAUCACAAAAAAAUAACAAACGAACUUCACGGUAAAACCAAAAAUACGAAUGGGGAGAGAAUGAGGGAAACCUAACAGAGGAAGACGUCUUCAAGGCAUUCGAAGAGAUUUCAAUUUCAAAAUACUUUCAAAAGUAGAGACACGUCAGUAUGACGAGUAAUAGGAAAAGUCCACGUAACCUUCAAAACGUAAGAGUCAUUUCUAGUAUUUUAGAAGUGGUAAAUGACUGAAAAACAAAUAAAAUCGACAGGUGUUAAAAAAUUAAAUAGGGGUAGUUGGGUAACUUUCCUACCAGAUUGUUAUUUACAAAACUUCUGAUCUGAGCUUAAAAAUAAUCAUCAUAUACUUUAUUUUGAAACUAUUUUCAAUUAUUUACUUUUUAAAAAUGAUAUUAAAUAAUAAAAAUACAGACGUACAUAUGUGUUUUUGGUGUUAUGUAUAGUUAUCGUAAAAUGGAAUCUGUGACGUAAUGACACGAACACAUUUUCUUGAAGCCGUAAAGUCUGAGCAGAUUUCUAAGAAAGACUUCUCUCUGAGAGACAACAAUCCAAUAUUCAACCAAACACCUUUCCAUAAUAUCCGCUUUUUCUUUUCUUUUGCCCAUCGCUCUUUGUCGGUCACACUUUCUUCUUCAAAUAUUUUUGCCUUUCCGUUACUUCCUCUCUUUAACCCUUUCCCACUUUCAAUCCAUCUUUCAUUUCACAAUUUCACGUCGUCGUCAUCCUCAUCAUCAUAUCAUUCCACCUUCACUUCUCAACCCACAUAAUUCUAUCUUUAU